AAGCAGCGGAGCGUGUGGUUUAAUUCGUUGCUACACGAAGAACCUUACCUGGGUUUGACAUAUAGGUUGUAGGGAACUGAAAGGGACCGACCUUCGGGAGCCUAUACAGGUGUUGCAUGGCUGUCGUCAGCUCGUGUCGUGAGAUGUUCGGUUAAGUCCGCUAACGAGCGCAACCCUCGUCGUAUGUUAUAUGUGUCAUACGAGACUGCCGGUAAAAAGCCGGAGGAAGGUGAGGAUGAUGUCAAGUCAGCAUGACCUUUAUAUCCAGGGCUACACACACGCUACAAUGGUCUGUACAAUGGGUAGCCAAGCCGCGAGGCGGAGCCAAUCCCACAAAGCCGAUCGUAGUCCGGAUUGUUCUCUGCAACUCGAGAGCACGAAGUCGGAAUCGCUAGUAAUCGCAGGUCAGCAUACUGCGGUGAAUACGUUCCCGGGUCUU
rnacentral:rRNA from 1 species